UACGGAGGGUGCAAGCGUUAAUCGGAAUUACUGGGCGUAAAGCGCACGCAGGUGGCUGAGUCAGUCGAUUGUGAAAGCCCUGGGCUUAACCUGGGAAUUGCAGUCGAUACUACUCAGCUAGAGUAUGGGAGAGGGCAGUGGAAUUCCCGGUGUAGCGGUGAAAUGCGUAGAUAUCGGGAGGAACAUCAGUGGCGAAGGCGGCUGCCUGGCCCAUUACUGACGCUGAGGAGCGAAAGCGUGGGGAGCGAACAGG
rnacentral:rRNA from 1 species